AGGGUGAGAAACAGAGAGAGAGACAGAGAGGGAGGGUGGGUGAGAAACAAGGAGAGAGAGGGUGAGAAACAGAGAGAGAGAGGGAGGGUGAGAAACAGAGAGAGAGAGGGGGAGGGUGAGAAACAGAGAGAGAGAGAGAGAGAGGGUGAGAAACAGAGAGAGAGAGAGAGAGGGAGGGUGAGAAACAGAGAGAGAGAGAGGGAGAGAGAGAGAGAGGGAGGGUGAGAAACAGAGAGAGAGACAGAGAGGGAGGGAGGGUGAGAAACAGGGAGAGAGAGAGGGUGAGAAACAGAGAGAGAGAGAGGGAGGGUGAGAAACAGAGAGAGAGAGAGAGAGGGUGAGAAACAGAGAGAGAGAGAGAGAGGGAGGGUGAGAAACAGAGAGAGAGAGAGGGAGGUGAGAAACAGAGAGAGAGAGG
ensembl:lncRNA